rnacentral:lncRNA from 1 species
ACUGUUCCUGAAAUAGGCACAUUACCUGUAUGCUGCUGUUGAAAUUAUGUCAACAUCCAUAUCUCCAAGUUCACUAACUUUCCAUUCUAAAUAUGCAUAUGCUUCUCACUACUUGUCCAAGCUUUCAAAGCACUAGAUUAGAUUAGAUUAGAUUAGUAGAAAGGGAGGGGCCUAUGCAGCCCAAGCACUGCGACCAACACAGGUCUAUUGUGCACAAAGCACUAGAUCUUAUCUUCAAUUCGUAGCCCAAUAUGGUAGUUAAGGUGGAGUGUGGGAUUUUGAGAUGCAUUGCAAAACUCACUUUAGAUUCACUAGGACAUCUAUGCACCUCUUCAAUUAUUUGUAUUAUCUUUUUAAUGGAAAAACAUCUCCUUUUAUUUUGUGAUGCAUUCAUCAUUUUAGCAUUCACAAAGAACAAACUCUUCUACAGUACAGUAGUGUAUUGUAUUGUUCAUCCUUUGCAAAAACACUUCUACUUUCACCCACUGUAAUGUCCAAAUUGUAACUUACACUACAGUAUCUGUUUGCGAAAAAUAGAUCGGAAGAGCG